rnacentral:rRNA from 1 species
AUUGAACGCUGGCGGCAUGCCUUACACAUGCAAGUCGAACGGCAGCACGGGAGCAAUCCUGGUGGCGAGUGGCGAACGGGUGAGUAAAGUAUCGGAACGUGCCCAGUCGCGGGGGAUAACGUAGCGAAAGUUACGCUAAUACCGCAUACGAUCUAUGGAUGAAAGCGGGGGAUCGCAAGACCUCGCGCGAUUGGAGCGGCCGAUAUCCGAUUAGGUAGUUGGUGGGGUAAAGGCUCACCAAGCCGACGAUCUGUAGCUGGUCUGAGAGGACGACCAGCCACACUGGGACUGAGACACGGCCCAGACUCCUACGGGAGUCAGCAGUGGGGAAUUUUGGACAAUGGGCGAAACCCUGAUCCAGCCAUGCCGCGUGCAGGAUGAAGGCCUUCGGGUUGUAAACUGCUUUUGUACGGAACGAAAAGGUUUGGGCUAAUAAGCUGAGCUCAUGACGGUACCGUAAGAAUAAGCACCGGCUAACUACGUGCCAGCCGCCGCGGUAA